rnacentral:misc_RNA from 1 species
GGAGUAAAAGUCGUAACAAGGUCUCCGUUGGUGAACCAGCGGAGGGAUCAUUACCGAGUUUACAACUCCCAAACCCAAUGUGAACCAUACCAAACUGUUGCCUCGGCGGGGUCACGCCCCGGGUGCGUCGCAGCCCCGGAACCAGGCGCCCGCCGGAGGGACCAACCAAACUCUUUCUGUAGUCCCCUCGCGGACGUUAUUUCUUACAGCUCUGAGCAAAAAUUCAAAAUGAAUCAAUACCUUCAACAACGGAUCUCUUGGUUCUG